GACGAGGGAUCCUAGCGUUGUUCGGAAUCAUUGGGCGUAAAGCGGGUGUAGGCGGACUUGUAAGUCAGGUGUGAAAUCCCAGGGCUCAACCCUGGAAGUGCAUUUGAUACUGCUAGUCUUGAAUGUGGUAGAGGUUACUGGAAUUGUUGGUGUAGUGGUGAAAUACGUAGAUAUCAACAGGAAUACCGGAGGCGAAGGCGAGUAACUGGGCCAACAUUGACGCCGAGACCCGAAAGCGUGGGGAUCAAACAGG
rnacentral:rRNA from 1 species